UUAUUUGGAGGAAAAUAGACAGAGGUUUAUAUUUUGUUUCUUUGGCAGCAUUGCAGUAGUAGCUACAACUUUUUCAGAUUGGUUGGUGCAUGGAUGCACUACUUUGGAGGUUUGCAACAGCAACAUCACUUUGUUUGGAAUUGGGACAAUUUGGGUGUAAAGAGAGUAUGAGCAAAUGACAUGAACACUUGUACCAAGAUUGGAAUAAAACUUAAGAUUUCUUUUGUAAUUCUUUAAAUCUCUUUUAUCAAUAUACAAAUGAAUUUGAUUUUGGAACUUGAAUGAUGUAGUGAAAUUGUAAUUUAAUGAACUUGAUGGAAAUCGCAAUGAAUCUUUUCUUCUUUUUUUUUUUUUUGGAAAUUUUCCUUUGGAUGUCACAUAUGCAUGAAACUUAGAACGAAACUUGAGACUUGAAUAAGUCAU